GGAACCCUCAGUUUCAUAUUUUGGGGAAGUUCAUGGCCUCAUUUUGAGCUUGGCAAAAGCUAUAUUCCUUCCUCUUGGGAAAAGUGUAUAUAUGUAUCAAAUUUGACAUUGAAUUUCUUGAAUUAACAGAGCCCUGAAUCCCAUUCAUGGGCCUCAGUUUAAGAAUUCACAAUCUGGUCUAAAUCGUCAGGUUACUUUUGGAGAAGUUAAUACCAAGAGAGGGGAAGGAAAUAAUUUAGUCAAUCACUUGGCGACAGAAUCCAGGCCUUUCAAAUUUUUAUCUAGUUUUAUUUAAUCACCCAAUGGAUCUCCCGUAUGCAACUGUACACUGAGGAAAAAAAAAUGACACUCAGGAAAAGAAUGAAAGUCAAGGUGAAUGAACUUAACUGCUUUAAUUAUUUAAACCCCAAUUUCUAAGUUCAAGUUACUAUCAACUGUGAGGGUACUACCCUACAGAGUGGGGUAGAGCAUGCCAGUGAUUUUGACUCCUUCAGGUGUCUAUUCGCCCAAGAAUCUCAAAUUUCCAAGGCACCUCACCUCAUUUACUAAGAAGCAACUUCUACAUAGAAAGAAUCUACGACAUCAAUAUUCUAGCCUUGCCUCACGCCCUAUAGAUCAAUGGCUUGUUCUUAUCUGACAGCAUCCACUGACAUAUUUCCCUGGGAUCGAAGAAGGAAGAGAAGAAAUUGCAGGGAGUACCCUAACAAAGGGAGAAUCGGGUAAAAAAAACGAGACAGAAGGAUAGAGUUGCAUCCAUUAGGAGGUACAAAGGGACGGGAUCUAAAAUAUGACUGGAGAAACCAUUCUUAGAUAGCAGACCAGAAGGAAGAGGAAAGGUACAGAUGGAGGUGAGGUGGCUAAGGCUCAAGGAGAUGAAGUCACUUCCCCGGGCUCGCAGUGAACGAGGGAGCCGUAGUAAAAGCAGUAGAAAUGGCAGAUGCAGCCAAGAGGCAGUUGAGCAAAGCAAGAAUCGAAGCAGUAAGAGCAGCACCUAUUAUGGAAACCAUUUCAAUUCAUGUGGUGCUUCCUGGACACCUUCACUGCGUGAAUCAUUAUAUAUGCAUAAUUCUCUUUUAAUACAUGCGGCAGCUCUGUAAGGUAAUUUGUAGGUUAUAAUGAACAUUUAUCUUGGGUUCUUUUUUUAAUUUGGCCAUUCUAAAUCUGAAUCCCCCUUCUUAUGUUUGAAGAAUCGGUUGCUUUUCCAGGCAGACCGUGAGCCUCACUAUAGAAGUUGGAAAUCCCAGGCAAAGAGCAGAAAGGAAUUUUCCCGAAGAUAACAGGCUCUGGAGCCUGACAUUUGAGGUUUUCAUUUCAGCUCUGGGCGCACUAGCCAAGUUAUUUGGCUCUCCUGUACCUUGGUUUCCUCCCUAGUGAAAAUGGGGCUGACACACAGACUUCCCGUGGAGAUUAAGAAGACCCGUGAAGAUUAAAUGAAUUAAUUNCCUUGGUUUCCUCCCUAGUGAAAAUGGGGCUGACACACAGACUUCCCGUGGAGACCCGUGAAGAUUAAAUGAAUUAAUACAUGGAAAUACAGAGAAGUGUCUGGCACAUCAUAAAUGCUCAACAAAUUAUAGCUACUUUCUCAGCCUCCCUAGCAUCGGGGGUAUGGGUCCAUGGCCUAUGGCCAUCAAUCACGCACACUCACUUUCACAUACUGACAAGAAAAAACAGG
ensembl:lncRNA